rnacentral:sRNA from 1 species
CACUCCAGAGCACUUGCAAUCCUCCAACCUGUCUUAGAUCGGUUGACCCUGUUCGUCACCUAGCAUUGCUGGUUCGUUUCGCUUCGAGGAAGGAAAGUGGGAAAGAAUUGUCAGAUAUUAUGAUCAUUUUCAAAGCGGUAAACAAAUUGUAAUCCGAAGCAGUACGGAAAAUGAGGUCUGCACAAUCCCUUACUCCUUUUUUAUCAUUCUAGAAAGGCCCUGGUAUGUCUGAUUUGCGCUUGGAAGAAUUGGCGACAGAGGAAGAUUCCCAACAAAGAGAAAGAUGUAGAUAUGACUUUUGAAGCU